CAGAGGGGGCAAGCGUUGUUCGGAAUUACUGGGCGUAAAGGGCGCGUAGGCGGCCCGCUAAGUCGAACGUGAAAUCCCCGAGCUCAACUCGGGAACUGCGUCCGAUACUGGCGGGCUUGAAUCCGGGAGAGGGAUGCGGAAUUCCAGGUGUAGCGGUGAAAUGCGUAGAUAUCUGGAGGAACACCGGUGGCGAAGGCGGCAUCCUGGACCGGCAUUGACGCUGAGGCGCGAAAGCUAGGGGAGCAAAACGGGAUUAGAUACCCCGGUAGUCCUAGCCCUAAACGAUGAAUGCUUGGUGUGGCGGGUAUCGAUCCCUGCCGUGCCGAAGCUAACGCAUUAAGCAUUCCGCCUGGGGAGUACGGUCGCAAGGCUG
rnacentral:rRNA from 1 species